rnacentral:rRNA from 1 species
UACGAAGGGGGCUAGCGUUGCUCGGAAUCACUGGGCGUAAAGGGCGCGUAGGCGGCUCUUUAAGUCGGGGGUGAAAGCCCAGGGCUCAACCCUGGAAUUGCCUUCGAUACUGAAGAUCUCGAGACCGGAAGAGGUAAGUGGAACUGCGAGUGUAGAGGUGAAAUUCGUAGAUAUUCGCAAGAACACCAGUGGCGAAGGCGGCUUACUGGUCCGGCUCUGACGCUGAGGCGCGAAAGCGUGGGGAGCAAACAGG